rnacentral:rRNA from 1 species
AAAAGAACCUGAAACCGUGUACGUACAAGCAGUGGGAGCCCCACCACUAAGCCAGUGGUGAACUCCACAUACGCAUCCUUUGCUGAGGAUACGGUUAACGGAGCGAAAGCGACGUUCAACCGCAAAACAAGCAGAGGGGGCUUAGUGGUGGGGUGACUGCGUACCUUUUGUAUAAUGGGUCAGCGACUUAUAUUCUGUAGCAAGGUUAACCGAAUAGGGGAGCCGUAGGGAAACCGAGUCUUAACCGGGCGUUAAGUUGCAGGGUAUAGACCCGAAACCCGGUGAUCUAGCCAUGGGCAGGUUGAAGGUUGGGUAACACUAACUGGAGGACCGAACCGACUAAUGUUGAAAAAUUAGCGGAUGACCUGUGGCU